rnacentral:lncRNA from 1 species
CAUCAGAAAGUACAAUAGAGUCAUCAUAUAAUGAAUGAUAAUUUUAAUAUCCAGAUAAAUACCAGACGUAAGGUGCCUCCAAUAUUUACCUAGACUAUUGGACCCAUUAUUAUCCAUUUUAAUGAGAGGCUAUGAUUUGUUAUCCCUAUAACUCAUUCAUUUUAAGGACCUAAUAAUUUAGAAGAUUUAAUCAUUUAUUUUAAAAUAAAAAGAAAAGAUUAAUCAGCAAUCAACAAUCCUCUCACUGA